rnacentral:rRNA from 1 species
AUUGAACGCUGGCGGCAUGCUUUACACAUGCAAGUCGAACGGUAACAGGCCGCAAGGUGCUGACGAGUGGCGAACGGGUGAGUAAUGCAUCGGAACGUGCCCAGUCGUGGGGGAUAACUAUCCGAAAGGAUAGCUAAUACCGCAUACGAUCUGCGGAUGAAAGCGGGGGACCUUCGGGCCUCGCGCGAUUGGAGCGGCCGAUGUCAGAUUAGGUAGUUGGUGGGGUAAAGGCUCACCAAGCCAACGAUCUGUAGCUGGUCUGAGAGGACGACCGGCCACGCUGGGACUGAGACACGGCCCAGACUACUAGGGGAGGAAGCAGUGGGGAAUUUUGGACAAUGGGCGCAAGCCUGUUCCAGCAAUGCCGCGUGCAGGAAGAAGGCCUUCGGGUUGUAAACUGCUUUGGUACGGAACGAAACGGCUCUGGUUAAUACCUGGGGCUAAUGACGGUACCGUAAGAAGAAGCACCGGCUAACUACGUGCCAGCAGCCGCAGUAA